GGGGCGGGGGGGGGGGGG
rnacentral:miRNA from 1 species